GACGAACGCUGGCGGCGUGCCUAACACAUGCAAGUCGAACGGAAAGGCCCUGCUCUUGUGGGGCGCUCGAGUGGGGAACGGGUGAGUAACACGUGAGUAAACUGCCCUUGACUUUGGGAUAACUUCAGGAAAAUGGGGCGAAUACCGGAUAUGAUCUCCUGCUGCAUGGUGGGGGUUGGAAAGUUUCGGCGGUUGGGGCUGGUCUCGCGGCUUAUGAGCUUGUUGGUGGGGUAGUGGCUUACCAAGGCUUUGACGGCUAGCCGGCCUGAGAGGGUGACCGGGCACAAUGGGACUGAGAGACGACCCAGACGGCAACGGGCGGCAGGGGGGGAAAAUAUUGCGGAAUGGGCCGAAGCCUGAGACAACGAUGCCGCGUUCGGGAAGACGGCCUUCGGGGUGUAAACAGCUUUGGACUGGAACGUAGAGGGAGUGACGGUAAUUAGUCAAGAAGCACCGGCUAACUACGUG
rnacentral:rRNA from 1 species